GACGAACGCUGGCGGCGUGCUUAACACAUGCAAGUCGAACGGAAAGGCCCUGCUUUUGUGGGGUGCUCGAGUGGCGAACGGGUGAGUAACACGUGAGUAACCUGCCCUUGACUUUGGGAUAACUUCAGGAAACUGGGGCUAAUACCGGAUAGGAGCUCCUGCUGCAUGGUGGGGGGUGGAAAGUUUCGGCGGUUGGGGAUGGACUCGCGGCUUAUCAGCUUGUUGGUGGGGUAGUGGCUUACCAAGGCUUUGACGGGUAGCCGGCCUGAGAGGGUGACCGGCCACAUUGUGACUGAGAUACGGCCCAGACUCCUACGGGAGGCAGCAGUGGGGAAUAUUGCACAAUGGGCGGAAGCCUGAUGCAGCAACGCCGCGUGCGGGAUGACGGCCUUCGGGUUGUAAACCGCUUUCGCCUGUGACGAAGCGUGAGUGACGGUAAUGGGUAAAGAAGCACCGGCUAACUACGUG
rnacentral:rRNA from 1 species